rnacentral:lncRNA from 1 species
CCCACACCAGUGAGAAGCAUCAGCACCGUGAACUUGUCUGAGAAUAGCAGUGUUGUCAUCCCCCCACCCGACUACUUGGAAUGCUUGUCCAUGGGGGCAGCUGCCGACAGGAGAGCAGAUUCGGCCAGGACGACAUCCACCUUUAAGGCCCCAGCGUCCAAGCCCGAGACCGCGGCUCCUAACGAUGCCAACGGGACUGCAAAGCCGCCUUUUCUCAGCGGAGAAAACCCCUUUGCCACUGUGAAACUCCGCCCGACUGUGACGAAUGAUCGCUCGGCACCCAUCAUUCGAUGAGAGGACAGCCAAGGACUCUCCCGGGCCUCUCCGGUUCUCCCUUGCGGAAUGAUGGGCGCAUCCUGUCUGCCACGUGCUGACGGUCGGGAAGCUUCAGUGGAGAGGCCUAACUCUAAUGUCGCCUGCUUAAGCAAAUCAUGCUUCUCUGUUUCACGUAGUUGGGUUGACAAGUUUCUGCCUUUAAGAUAAAUGAGUAAUAGUCUAAUGACCAGCUCAGCCAUUUAAAAUAUUUUCUUCCUAUUCUGUUCAAGAAACAGUAAACUUGGUUUCAAUCU